CUGUGGGUUGAGGUAUAAGAGAUGGACUGUGGGUUGAGGUAUAAGAGAUGGACUGUGGGUUGAGGUAUAAGAGGUAUAAGAGAUGGUCUGUGGGUUGAGGUAUAAGAGAUGGACUGUGGGUUGAGGUAUAAGAGAUGGACUGUGGGUUGAGGUAUAAGAGAUGGACUGUGGGUUGAGGUAUAAGAGAUGGACUGUGGGUUGAGGUAUAAGAGAUGGACUGUGGGUUGAGGUAUAAGAGAUGGACUGUGGGUUGAGGUAUAAGAGACGGACUGUGGGUUGAGGUAUAAGAGAUGGACUGUGGGUUGAGGUAUAAGAGAGGAACUGUGGGUUGAGGUAUAAGAGAGGAACUGUGGGUUGAGGUAUAAGAGAUGGACUGUGGGUUGAGGUAUAAGAGAUGGACUGUGGGUUGAGGUAUAAGAGAUGGACUGUGGGUUGAUGUUUAAGAGAGGAACUGUGGGUUGAGGUAUAAGAGAGGAACUGUGGGUUGAGGUAUAAGAGAGGAACUGUGGGUUGAGGUAUAAGAGAUGGACUGUGGGUUGAGGUAUAAGAUAUGGACUGUGGGUUGAGGUAUAAGAGAGGAACUGUGGGUUGAGGUAUAAGAGAGGAACUGUGGGUUGAGGUAUAAGAGAUGGACUGUGGGUUGAGGUAUAAGAGAUGGACUGUGGGUUGAGGUAUAAGAGAUGGACUGUGGGUUGAGGUAUAAGAGAUGGACUGUGGGUUGAGGUUUAAGAGAGGAACUCUGGGUUGAGGUAUAAGAGAUGGACUGUGGUUUGAGGUUUAAGAGAUGGACUGUGGGUUGAGGUAUAAGAGAGGAACUGUGGGUUGAGGUAUAAGAGAUGGACUGUGGGUUGAGGUAUAAGAGAUGGACUGUGGGUUGAGGUAUAAGAGAUGGACUGUGGGUUGAGGUAUAAGAGAUGGACUGUGG